AUUGAACGCUGGCGGCAUGCUUUACACAUGCAAGUCGAACGGUAACAGGCCGCAAGGUGCUGACGAGUGGCGAACGGGUGAGUAAUGCAUCGGAACGUGCCCAGUCGUGGGGGAUAACGCAGCGAAAGCUGCGCUAAUACCGCAUACGAUCUAUGGAUGAAAGCGGGGGACCGUAAGGCCUCGCGCGAUUGGAGCGGCCGAUGUCAGAUUAGGUAGUUGGUGGGGUAAAGGCUCACCAAGCCAACGAUCUGUAGCUGGUCUGAGAGGACGACCGGCCACACGGGGACCGAGACACGGCCCAGACUCCUACGGGAGGCAGCAGUGGGGAAUUUUGGACAAUGGGCGCAAGCCUGAUUCAGCAAUGCCGCGUGCAGGAAGAAGGCCUUCGGGUUGUAAACUGCUUUUGUACGGAACGAAACGGCUCUGGUUAAUACCUGGGGCUAAUGACGGUACCGUAAGAAUAAGCACCGGCUAACUACGUGCCAGCCGCCGCCGUAAAAC
rnacentral:rRNA from 1 species